UCAAUAAGCGGAGGAAAAGAAACCAACAGGGAUUGCUUUAGUAACGGCGAGUGAAGCGGCAAAAGCUCAAAUUUGAAAUCUGGCACCUUCGGUGUCCGAGUUGUAAUUUGAAGAAGGUAACUUUGGAGUUGGCUCUUGUCUAUGUUCCUUGGAACAGGACGUCACAGAGGGUGAGAAUCCCGUGCGAUGAGAUGCCCAAUUCUAUGUAAAGUGCUUUCGAAGAGUCGAGUUGUUUGGGAAUGCAGCUCUAAGUGGGUGGUAAAUUCCAUCUAAAGCUAAAUAUUGGCGAGAGACCGAUAGCGAACAAGUACAGUGAUGGAAAGAUGAAAAGAACUUUGAAAAGAGAGUGAAAAAGUACGUGAAAUUGUUGAAAGGGAAGGGCUUGAGAUCAGACUUGGUAUUUUGCGAUCCUUUCCUUCUUGGUUGGGUUCCUCGCAGCUUACUGGGCCAGCAUCGGUUUGGAUGGUAGGAUAAUGACUAAGGAAUGUGGCUCUACUUCGGUGGAGUGUUAUAGCCUUGGUUGAUACUGCCUGUCUAGACCGAGGACUGCGUCUUUUGACUAGGAUGUUGGCAUAAUGAUCUUAAGCCACCCGUCUUGAAA
rnacentral:rRNA from 1 species